GGCAAGAUGGCCGAGCGGUCUAAGGCGCUGCACUCAAGGAUUAUUCCAUUCCUUCUCCAGAUCACAUCUGAAGAGCAUUGCAGUCACGCAAGUGGCGUGGGUUCGAAUCCCACUCUUGUCA
rnacentral:tRNA from 1 species